UGCCAAUGCGGAUCCAAGGCCCUCAGGUUGUCAUCUUUUUUCCCUCUUUGUUGGAGGUCUGUGCAGCGAGUGGUGUGCGUGUGUCUGGAGUGGAGAUGGCCGGUGGGUCUGAGGAGCAGCGCAGGCGGCAGACAGGGCUCUGAGCUUUCCGCCUGGCUGCCGGGCACUGUGUUCACAGGGCUCCACACAGGAGAUCGGACAGGAGCCGGUCCAUGGCGCCCCCUGCUCCGUCUCCCUGCAGGAGGGGCAGGAGCCCCACACCAGCACCAGAGCCCAGGGCAGGCUCAGGGGGGAAAACGUGUCCACAGGGGACAGGAAUGAGACCUGUGUGGUGUGGAGCGUCCAGGCGGGCAGGCUGGAGAAGCUGGUGGGAAAACUGGUGCCUGCUUUCCUGGGCGGGGACCCCUCCGACCUCCCCACAUUCCUGGGCUCCUACAGGGCUUUCCCUACCUCCCAGCAGAUGCUGGACCUUCCCUUCACAAGGUGAGCACUCUGCCCCUUAUGGGACAUUGGUGACUCGGCCACCUACUAGCUGUGACAUGGGGGAAUGUCACUCCACCUCUCUGAGCCUCAGUUGGCCCCUCUGCACAAUAGGGUAAAGAGAGGACCAGCCCCCUACGGUGACUGUCGGGACCAGCGGGUCUUUCAUGGAAAGUGCUUUCUGGGGACCUGGCCUGUGGAAAGGUCUGCUGGAGGGGCCGUGGUUGUGCUAAUUCCUCAUGUCCCUCCUCCCCAUGAGGAAGCCUCUGCCUCAGUUGUCACUGUGCCUCUGACCUUGGGAUGAACUCUCUUCCCAGUUGAAUGGUGAUGGGUGAUUCCAUUAGGGGUGCCCUGUCCUGGGUGGGUGAGAGCAAGGGUUCCUGGGAGUGAGCAGUGGGGCCCCAGGCCACUCAGAUGGGGCUGGUGGGGCUCAUUCAUUCUUCACAUAUAGAGGAAGGCCACUAGGUGCAGGCACUUUUCUAGGAACAACCAUUAUUUAAUGCAUCGAGGAGACAUCAGUCCUGCCCUCCAGGGCUUCCGUUCUACCACGGUCACACUGUCACACCAGCUAUCAUAUCCAGGUGUGUCCUCAGGACAGUCCAUGUGACGCCUCCUGGCCUUCUCUAGAUAUGGAUGCAUCCUCCCUUACUCUGAUGAGGACAGUGGACCCCUGCACCAGCUGAAAGUGUGAGUGGGCUUUGGUUCAAGAGGGAGGGACUCCCUUCUCCAAAGAAUUGCAUGGAGAUGUGGGGUCUGUGGAUGGGCAGGGCUGGCAGAACCCUGGAUCCCACACAUCUGAUGGUUCGUGCUGAGGGCAGAGGUCUGAGGGCUCCUCCUGGAAAAGAGGAAAGGAGUCCAAGAGCGCUGCGGACGGGGCUGCGGUGUGAGGAGCAUCCGGGAGGUCAGAGGUCAGAGUCAGCCCCUAAGAGAGUCCACACCCGUCCCCUCUCCAUCCCAGCCCUGCCUCUACACCCCAUUCUGGGACCCAGAACACAAGGUGUGGAGAGAAUCCGGCUCACUGUCUGGUGGACCGUUAGCAGGGGUGCUCAGCAGUGGUACAAGUCCAUUUUUAAUAUUUUUUUAUUACAUAUACGAAAUUGUUUUCUAUGAUAUAAAGUUCACUUAAAAUAAAAUUUAAUAGUUUGAUUAUUUUAAA